AGGGUAAUAGUUAAUCAUAACAUUUAAUUUGCACUUAGAAAGUAUUGCUAGUCAAUUUACCUU
rnacentral:tRNA from 2 species